UACGUAGGGUGCAAGCGUUGUCCGGAAUUAUUGGGCGUAAAGAGCUCGUAGGCGGUCUGUCGCGUCUGCUGUGAAAACUCAGGGCUCAACCCUGAGCUUGCAGUGGGUACGGGCAGACUAGAGUGCGGUAGGGGAGACUGGAAUUCCUGGUGUAGCGGUGAAAUGCGCAGAUAUCAGGAGGAACACCGGUGGCGAAGGCGGGUCUCUGGGCCGUAACUGACGCUGGAGGAGCGAAAGCGUGGGGAGCGAACAGG
rnacentral:rRNA from 1 species